rnacentral:rRNA from 1 species
GACGAACGCUUGCGGCGUGCCUAAGAAAUGCAAGUCGAGCGAGCUCAAGCCUUCGGGCGGAAAGCUAGCGGCGAACGGUCGAGUAACGCGUGAGCAACCUGCCCCAAAGCGGGGGAUAGCCCACCGAAAGGUGGAUUAAUACCGCAUGUGGCCGUUCCGGGGCAUCCCGGGACGAUUAAAGCAGCAAUGCGCUUUGGGAUGGGCUCGCGGCCUAUCAGCUUGUUGGUGGGGUAACGGCCUACCAAGGCUACGACGGGUAGCUGGUCUGAGAGGAUGGUCAGCCGGAUUGGGACUGAGACACGGCCCAGACUCCUACGGGGGGCAGCAAUUAGGAAUCUUGCGCAAUGGGCGAAAGCCUGACGCAGCGACGCCGCGUGACCGACGAAGUCCUUCGGGAUGUAAAGGUCUUUUGUCCAGGGAAGAAGAUCUGACGGUACCUGGCGAAUAAGCCCCGGCUAACUACGUG